GAUGAACGCUAGCUACAGGCGUAACACAUGCAAGUCGAGGGGAACGAUAUUGGAAGCUUGCUUCCGAUAGGCGUCGACCGGCGCACGGGUGAGUAACGCGUAUCCAACCUGCCCACCACUUGGGAAUAACCUUGCGAAAGUAAGACUAAUGCCCAAUGAUAUCUCUAGAAGACAUCUGAAGGAGAUUAAAGAUUUAUCGGUGAUGGAUGGGGAUGCGUCUGAUUAGCUUGUUGGCGGGGUGACGGCCCACCAAGGCGACGAUCAGUAGGGGUUCUGAGAGGAAGGUCCCCCACAUUGGAACUGAGACACGGUCCAAACUCCUACGGGAGGCAGCAGUGAGGAAUAUUGGUCAAUGGGCGAGAGCCUGAACCAGCCAAGUAGCGUGCAGGAUGACGGCCCUAUGGGUUGUAAACUGCUUUUAUAAGGGAAUAAAGUUAGUCUCGUGAGACUUUUUGCAUGUACCUUAUGAAUAAGGACCGGCUAAUUCCGUGCCAGCCGCCGCAGUAA
rnacentral:rRNA from 1 species